rnacentral:rRNA from 1 species
GAUGAACGCUGGCGGCGUGCCUAAUACAUGCAAGUCGAGCGAACAGACGAGGAGCUUACUCCUCUGACGUUAGCGGCGGACGGGUGAGUAACACGUGGAUAACCUACCUAUAAGACUGGGAUAACUUCGGGAAACCGGAGCUAAUACCGGAUAAUAUAUUGAACCGCAUGGUUCAAUAGUGAAAGACGGUUUUGCUGUCACUUAUAGAUGGAUCCGCGCCGCAUUAGCUAGUUGGUAAGGUAACGGCUUACCAAGGCAACGAUGCGUAGCCGACCUGAGAGGGUGAUCGGCCACACUGGAACUGAGACACGGUCCAGACUCCUACGGGAGGCAGCAGUAGGGAAUCUUCCGCAAAGGGCGAAAGCUUGACGGGGCAACGCCGCGUGAGUGAUGAAGGUCUUCGGAUCGUAAAACUCUGUUAUUAGGGAAGAACAAAUGUGUAAGUAACUAUGCACGUCUUGACGGUACCUAAUCAGAAAGCCACGGCUAACUACGUG